ACUAGAGGCCAUUUUAAACAGCAAAGUCACCAACAAAAAGCACAAAGAUGUGAAAAGCAUGACACCAAAUAGACUUCAGAUAGGUCAGUUGUUUACAGUAUGAGAACUGAAACAAGAAGGCAGAUCAUUAUUCUGCUCAACUUCAGCUGGUAACGGGUACAUGGGGGAACUCAAAAUUGUUUCCAUUCUGCACAUGUCUGUGAAUGACCAUGAAAAUGCUACAGAUAUUGAUUUGGGGUUACCAAUACAUUUUAGGGAGUAGGUGCAUCCACAAACAUGGACUCUGCAAAUAAUAAGGAUUGUACAUACAUUAUUUUAUUUGGCAAAUAUUUUUAGUAUAUCUAUUAAGUGCCAGAUACUGUACAAGGCACUGGGAAUUAAGAAGUGAACAAAACAAAUCUCUGUGUUCAUGGAUCUAACAUGUUGGGGAAGGGUUAAAUACGGAUGACUACAUCACGGUCAGAUGGUGACAGUAUGACUGAUUAAACUGGGAGGGGAUUAGAGAAGGAUGUGGAGGGGCUGCUAUUCAAUCUGAGUCAUCAGAGGAAAGCCUGGCAUAUAUAUAUAACACUGAAACACUCAAAGGAAACAAGUCAUAGGGACAGGCUUGGGAAGAGCAAUCCAGAAAGUGGGAGCAGGAAGUGUGAAGAUGCUGCGCAGGUGGCCAGUGUGGCUGGUGCCAUACUGGGAGAGGAGAUCAGAGUGGGCUGGCAAGUGAUGGUAAACUUUUUAACAUCAAAACCUGGACACUUGAAAGGAAUGUGCUCUGAGGAUUCAAAGCAGCAGCUCUGGCAUGCUUCCUAAGUUCUCAUAAUUUUGACAAAAGAAAACAGCCUUGUGUAGUUUCUCUUGAGAAAAGCUCAGGUAAGAGCCAGAGAGGAUCUUUGCAGAGGGAUAAAGGUGUUGCCAAACUACCCAAGACCUCUGCUAUGUCUGAGGCUUGGUUGCUAGGGCAAGGGAAGUGCCUUAAAAUCAGCCAGACUUGGUAAGAUUCUCUGGGAGAUAAGGUGGCCCAAGACUGCAAGAUUGAGGACAAUUUCAUCAGCGUUUGUAGUGCAUUUGAGAAGAGUCACAACAAACAAAUAAUCCCCAGGACAACAGGAGGAGUGGAGGCGGGAAACUAGUCCACACAGUGAGAAUCAACUUGUGGAAAAAAGCUGCUCACCCAAUACCGAGUUCGGCUCACGGUGCUUGUAAGAAUAUCAGUGCUGUGUGCGGUCCAUGCUGGAGUCAGCUGCAAAGUCUUCUGAAAUUAGAGGUCCUAAGACUCAAUCCUCACAGCUGACAGAAAAGUGUGCAGAAGACCAGAAAGAGAAGAAAGGCUUGAGGUCUUGCUGAGAUCAUGCCCCAAUGCCAGGGCUCUACCUGGGUUACACUGUGGCAGAUUUGGACAGCUUUGUGAAUCUAACUUUAUACAGGACAACACUCAGAAAUGCUUUGUGAAUGUGUCCAGGUCACGUACCUGGGAAGUGGUGCUGAUGCGACGGAAAGCACAGGACUGAAUAAUGGCUGCCAAGGAUAUCUGGGUCUUAAUGCCUGGAAUCUGCUAAUGUUACCUUAUAUGGCAGAAGAGACUUUGCAUGUAUGAUUAAAGAUUUUAAGAUAGGGGCACUUUCCUGGAUUAUUCUGGUUGGCCCUAAGUGCCAUCGGGUGUGUCCUUAUAAGUGGGAGGCCAACAGAAGGCUGAAGAUGAUGUGAUCAUGGGGGCAGAGGGAGAUCUGAAGAUGCUACUGGCUUUGAAGAUGGACAGUGUGGCCCUGAUCCAAGGAAUGCAGCUCCAGAGGCUGAAAGGAACAGGAGAUGGGCUCUUCCCUUGAGCCUCUGGAGGGAGCACAACUCUGCUGACACCUUGGUUUGGCCCAGUGAACUUGAUCUUGGACUUCUGGCCUCUAGAACUCCUAAGAAAAUAAACUUGUGUUG